UGGGGAAUCUUCCACAAUGGACGAAAGUCUGAUGGAGCAACGCCGCGUGAGUGAAGAAGGUCUUCGGAUCGUAAAGCUCUGUUGUUGGUGAAGAAGGAUAGAGGCAGUAACUGGUCUUUAUUUGACGGUAAUCAACCAGAAAGUCACGGCUAACUACGUGCCAC
rnacentral:rRNA from 1 species